GCGGAGCGUUCCGUAGGCCUGCGAAGGUAUCCUGUAAGGGGUGCUGGAGGUAUCGGAAGCGAGAAUGCUGACAUGAGUAACGUAAAGGAGUGUGAGAGACACUCCCGCCGUAAGUCCAAGGGUUCCUGUGCAAGGGUAAUCCGCGCAGGGUUAGCCGGCCCCUAAGGCGAGGACGAAAGUCGUAGUCGAUGGGAAUCAGGUAAAUAUUCCUGAGCCAGCUGGAUGUGACGAAGGCCGAAAGGUGUAUCCUCUAAUUGGAUUGAGAGAUGCACCCUGGGACUUCCAGGAAAUAGCACCAGCGCUAGACCGUACCCGAAACCGACACUGGUGGACGAGUAGAGUAUACUCAGGCGCUUGAGAGAAUGAUGUUGAAGGAACUCGGCAAAUUGACCUCGUAACUUCGGGAGAAGAGGUACCUGUCUUGGGCAACCAGGACCAGGUGACACAAACUAGGGGG
rnacentral:rRNA from 1 species